UACGUAGGUGGCAAGCGUUGUCCGGAAUUAUUGGGCGUAAAGCGCGCGCAGGCGGUCCUUUAAGUCUGAUGUGAAAGCCCACGGCUCAACCGUGGAGGGUCAUUGGAAACUGGGGGACUUGAGUACAGAAGAGAAGAGUGGAAUUCCACGUGUAGCGGUGAAAUGCGUAGAGAUGUGGAGGAACACCAGUGGCGAAGGCGACUCUUUGGUCUGUAACUGACGCUGAGGCGCGAAAGCGUGGGGAGCAAAAGGG
rnacentral:rRNA from 1 species